rnacentral:rRNA from 1 species
GAAGGUGUAUCUAGAAAGACAAAUUAGAGCUUGAAAAGUAAAGCAUUUCAUUUACAUUGAAAAGUAUAUUGUGUAAUUCAAUUUAAUUUGAUAAUAAAAAUUUAUUAAUUUUUUUUGUUUAUAAAUUUAUUUAAUAAAAUUAAUUUUAAAUUUAGUUUUUUUUGUAUAAUAUAUAGAUCAAAUAAUUUAUAUAAUAGUUAAUUAGUAUUGUAAAAGAAUAUUGAAAUAUAUGAAAAAGUUUUAAAUUAAAAGUAAAUUUUAUAUAUUGUACCUUGUGUAUCAGGGUUUAUUAAUUAAAAGUUAAAAAUUUAAUUUUCUCGAAUUUAAGAGAGUUAAUUUAUUAUUUAAUUUUUUGUUUCAUAAAAAUUUAAAAUAAUAAAUUAGAAAUGAAAUGUUAUUCGUUCUUAAAUAUAUCUAGUUUUUUGAGAAAUAAAUUAAAUUUAGAUUAUUAAUAAAUAAUUAUUUAUUUAAAUAAUAAAUUAUUAUUAAUAAUUAAUAUUUUAAGGGAUAAGCUUUAAAGUAAGUUUUAUAAUAAUUUUUUAAUUUAAAAAUUAUAGAUUUAGAAAUAGUCAUUAAUUAUAAAAAUGUUAUAAUUUAUUUUAAAUUAAAAAUAAUUUUUAUUAAUUUAAGUUUUUUAUUAAAAUAAUUUUUAAAAUUAUAUAAGAAUUAAAGUAAUGAUAAAAUUAGUAUAUUUAAUUAUUUAAAAUAAAUAAAUUGAAAGGUUAAAUUAAGGAACUUGGCAAAUAAAUACUCGCCUGUUUAACAAAAACAUGUCUUUUUGAAUAUAAUUUAAAGUCUAAUCUGCCCACUGAAAAAUUUUAAAGGGCCGCGGUAUU